GAACGCACCUUGCACCCUUUGGUAUUCCGAAGGGUAUGCUCGUUUGAGUGUCAUUGUACUCUCACACUUCUGAUCUUUGGAUUGGGAGCGGUGGACUUGGGUGUUGCUGCUUUACUGUGGCUCACCUCAAAUGCAGUAGUGCAACUCUUGGUUGGACAUAGUACGGCGUGAUAAGUGUCUUCGCCGGCACCUCGAAAGAGGGUGGCUGAUCAGGAGCUCUGUGCUUCCAACUGUCUUCGGACAACUACUGACAACUUGACCUCAAAUCGAGUAGGACCACCCGCUGAACUUA
rnacentral:misc_RNA from 1 species